UAUGGUUAAUCAACUGAAAAAUUAUAAAUUCAAGAUAAAAUGACAUUUCAGAAAAAAGAUGUCACACUGAUAUGAUCUUUCAAAGAACAAGAAAUUAUUCUUUUUUGGUCAACAAGGCAACAAUUUAUACAUUUAUCAUGUGUGAUCUUUAGCAAUUACGCAACAAACACGAGAAAUAUAGAUAUCGAAAUCGAUUAAUUAUUACUUUCUAUUCUUUGAGGAAAACAUAUUGACGAUAUGGAUGUCAAACAACGAGAAUCUUCGUUACGGUAGACAUCUCCAUGAACGUCUAACGAGGGAUGUCUACUGUACAGAAGAAAAAUCUGUACCUGCUCUCGAAAUCUUAUCCAAAUUUUUUAUUUUCACCACGUCUACCACCAUUACCACGGUCGAAAAAUCGAGACAGCUUCGAGUAUAAUCUACGUAAUGUUGGAGAAACGACAAGAAACCUAUGCACUGUAUAUAAUAACACUAUCCCCACUAUAAAGCCCCAAAUUUAAUUGUAUCACACGUUUAUUCAUUGCAAAACACUAAUUAUAGAACUACGUACAUAUAUCGUCGCAUCGCUUCGUUAACAGAGUAAAUUCUACAAAUCGACUAUAAAUGGAAUACCAUUGAAUAUUCAACCAUUUAACAACGAAAAAUUUCGUUUUCUUCGUAAUUUAGUUAAUAGCCCCUAGAAUUUAAACUAUUAAAUCAGCAGAAAAAUCUUUUAAAAAAGUGCUAAACCGGCUCUAUAUCGAAUUAUGAUAUUCAUGUUAAAUAUCAGAUUGUCCGAUUGUUUCUUUCGUUUUAUAAGUAAAUAAUAGACGCACAAUGUUUUUUGUUUUAUAUUAGUUUAUUGAAUUAUGCACGAACAUAAUAAUAGAAAUAGAACGAAAUAGAUCAUACCUAAUUCAAUAAAAUAAUAUAAAACAGAAGUUGUUGUUCAUCUAUUGUCACCUUAUGAAACGAAAGAAACAUUUCGGACAACCUAAUAGUAUAGCAUUAUUAGCUUAAUAACCACUACAAAGAGCUCACUUUUAAAGUUAAUUAUCCUGAUAUUUCGAACUUAC
rnacentral:misc_RNA from 1 species